rnacentral:rRNA from 1 species
AGCAGUAGCCGCGGGAAUACGUAGGGUGCAAGCGUUAAUCGGAAUUACUGGGCGUAAAGCGUGCGCAGGCGGUUUGUUAAGACAGAUGUGAAAUCCCCGGGCUUAACCUGGGAACUGCAUUUGUGACUGGCGAGCUAGAGUAUGGCAGAGGGGGGUAGAAUUCCACGUGUAGCAGUGAAAUGCGUAGAGAUGUGGAGGAAUACCGAUGGCGAAGGCAGCCCCCUGGGCCAAUACUGACGCUCAUGCACGAAAGCGUGGGGAGCAAACAGGAUAAGAGACCCCUGUAGUCCCUGUCUCUUAUAC